rnacentral:rRNA from 1 species
AUGCAUGUCUAAGUACAGCUCGGUGGAGCAAUCUACCGGGCGAAACCGCGGACGGCUCAUUAAAUCAGUCGUUGUCUAAAUGGGCGAAAGUUACCUUUUGGAUAACUGUGGAAAAUCCAGAGCUAAUACAUGCGAUUUACGAGUCCUGAGCUAAAGCCUAUUUUCCGUUCGCGGGAUUUCGGUACUAACUCGGGAUGCUUUUAUUAGACCGAGGCGCGCGCAUACUCGGUUUAGGCUUUCGAAUUCGUUUGGGAGCCGGCCGUUUGUGUGUCGACGUGUAAGCGCUAAAUGGUGAACCCUGGAUAACACKUGAUGAGCGUGCCUUUCGGCACGCCGCCUACUUACGAGUGACUGCCCUAUCAGCUAGUAACGUAUGUUAUACGCGAACGCUGGCUAUAACGGGUAACGGGGAAUCAGAGUUCGAUUCCGGAGAGGCAGCCUGAGAAACGGCUACCACG